rnacentral:rRNA from 1 species
GGAGACCGAUAGCGAACAAGUACCGUGAGGGAAAGAUGACAAGCACUUUGAAAAGAGGGUGAAAAGAGCCUGAAACCGUCACGGGGGAAGCGGAUCGCGUUGGAUUGAUGGGCGCUUGCGUGUUCAGCCCUUUGGGUGCAUUGGCGCAAGUUGCUUAUCCGCUGUGAGUUUUCGGGGGUCGAUUUUGGACCCCUGGGGACUGAGGGCUCCCUUUUAGAGGUGAGGACAGCGGAGUGACGACGCGAUACGACCCGUCUUGAAACACGGACCAAGGAGUCUAGCGCGGGUGCGAGUCGGAGGGUGCAAGCCCGUGGGCGAAGUGAAAGCGAGUGUAAAAACGAGCAGUUUGGGGCGGCAUAAGAUCGUUGAUCUUAAGACCGACCCAGAGCAGUUGCGCUGGGACCCGAAAGAUGGUGAACUAUGCCGGAGUAGGGCAAAGCCAGAGGAAACUCUGGUGGAGGCUCGUAGCGGUGCUGACGUGCAAAUCGCUCGUCGAACUUGGGUAUAGGGGCGAAAGACUAAUCGAACCAUCUAGUAGCUGGUUCCCUCCGAAGUUUCUCUCAGGAUAGCGGGCCGACAAGUUGUUUUGUGCGGUAAAGCGAAUGAUUAGCGCAUUUCGGGGGCGUUUAGCCUUUGGGCGAUUCUCAAACUUUCAAUGCGCAAGGGUGCCGCUGCUUAAUUGAGCGGUACCGGUAAAAACGUCGGCCCUGUGGGCCACUUUUGGUAAGCAGAACUGGCGAUACGGGAUGAACCGUAAGCAUGGU